rnacentral:rRNA from 1 species
UGGGGAAUCUUAGACAAUGGGGGCAACCCUGAUCUAGCCAUGCCGCGUGAGUGAUGAAGGCCUUAGGGUCGUAAAGCUCUUUCGCCGGGGAAGAUAAUGACUGUACCCGGUAAAGAAACCCCGGCUAACUCCGUGCCAGCAGCCGCGGUAAUACGGAGGGGGUUAGCGUUGUUCGGAAUUACUGGGCGUAAAGCGCGCGUAGGCGGAUCGGAAAGUUGGGGGUGAAAUCCCGGGGCUCAACCCCGGAAUU